UACGAAGGGGGCUAGCGUUGCUCGGAAUCACUGGGCGUAAAGCGCACGUAGGCGGACUCUUAAGUCGGUGGUGAAAUCCUGGAGCUCAACUCCAGAACUGCCUUCGAUACUGAGAGUCUCGAAUCCGAGAGAGGUGAGUGGAACUGCGAGUGUAGAGGUGAAAUUCGUAGAUAUUCGCAAGAACACCAGUGGCGAAGGCGGCUCACUGGCUCGGUACUGACGCUGAGGUGCGAAAGCGUGGGGAACAAACAGG
rnacentral:rRNA from 1 species